rnacentral:lncRNA from 1 species
CACCUCGUAUACAUAGUAGGAUCUCCAAUCUUCUUGAAAGGUACUCGGGUAUGCUUAACAGAGAAUGUAGAGAAAGUAGUUUCUCAUGGGAGAUGGAGAGCAUAGAGAUGAUCUCAGAACCUACAACAAGGUGAUGUAUGACAUCGACUCCAAGAAAGAGAUGUGAAAUAGCUUUCUUGAGAAGAGAUUUUUUGAAGAUUUCUGUAUGGAAUAGCCUAUAGAUUUCACUUCUUGUGAUAGGUAAUC